CUUAGACUGCCUGACCUACUACCCAGGAAACAGGGUUUCUUCUACCUUCUUUUACUACGAGGUAAGCCAGUGUCUGCCAGGCACUGUCACCAGGUCUGCCGGUGGCUGCUCAGUUGUCCGUCUAGUUAACCCGAGGGAUUUCCACUGCCAGUCUCAGCCCACUGGGGGCCUGGCCAGUCUCAGAACAUGGGGAUGGAGGAAGUGAAGGCGGAAGGUGACACUCCUACCAUCAGAGCUCAGAUACUGUUUCUUCCUUUUGACUUGCAUUAUUUUAUUUAAUCCUGAUACUCUUUGUGGGCAAUGUUUUCCCAUUCAUUAUAGCUACAUUGAGCCUCAUGUUACAUAACUUGUCCAUGGUCACAUGGUCAUGAGAUAUCAGAUCCAAACUUCAAACUCAGACCUAUAUCCCAUACCAGCUGUAGAACUUUGUAGAAGCUAGGUAAUGGUGGUAGCAACAAGCACAAUAAUAACUAAAAUUUGUUGAAAAUUUUCUUCAUUCCACAGGUAUUUAUUUAGUGUGUAACAUGUGCUGGGUACUCUUCUGAACAUUUGCCACGUUCUAACUCAUAGAAUCCGCACCAAUGCUAUCUCCCGGACAGGACUACUGGCAUCCUCAUCUUAAAGAUGUGGAAACAGAAACAAGAGUUCGAGAAACAUGUCUGAGGUCAGAAAGUUGUCAUCCCUGCCCUGUGUCUCUUCAGGCACAUCUCUUCAAAGUCUCCCAUCCUUGCAAAUUAACUUCCUUGAAAAUAAAGAGAAACACUGGAUGGGCCAAACAUUAAGAACAAACCAAAGAACCCAUGCUGAGACCUCUCACAUUGACAUAAGACGGAUAUUGGAAGGUGGUUAUAGAAAUGAAUCUCCACUUCCCAUCUGUUGCAGACAUACCAUAUAGCAACCGUGGAAUCAUAGUAACAGUGGAAUCAUACAGCAACAGUGGAAUCAUAUAGCAACAGCAGAACCUUACAGCAACCCUGAAACUCUAUAGCAACAGCAGAAUCCAAGUCAAAGCUCACUACCAUGGUCCACAGUUGUGUGUAUGUGUGAAUAAUGACAAUGGUUUUGGUAUCAUUUAGUAUCAGUGGUGAUUUAGUAUAAAGGAUGAAAUCUGGUAUUUCAAUGAUUGGUAAAUGCUCAAUGUUGCAUGGAUUAUCAUUUAUAAGUUUUGGAGCUCAGGGAAAAGACUCUGAUCAUGAUCUGUCAACAAGAGUAACCACCACCACCACAAAAGUGAAUAACAUCUUAUUUUCAACCAGUAACUGAUUGGAAACACCAUCUUACCUGAUAUUUUUACCAUGAGAAUUAAGAAUUUAAAGAAUACUGUGUCUUUGCCAUGUUCAACCUCACCUGAAAGCCCUGAGUUGACAUUUUUUUCUUAAUGACAUAAUAUUGUGUUCAUAUGUGUGUGUGUUUCCUUGGAAAGCAUACACUCCCACCCCUUACCGAAGCCAUGCUACAUCUGACCUCUUAGUCACUUUAAUUAUUAACGGCACACCUGGGAGGAGGGGUGGCACCACAGACCACUUGUUCUCAGCCUUUACUGCCUUAAGACUCCUCCUGGGGAGUUUAGAAAUGCCAAUGCCUUGGCUGAACCCCAUUAAAUCAGACCCUCUGGGGUGAGCCCCCCAGAGUUGUCAAAGAGCCCCAGAUUAUACCACCAUGUAGCCAAGUUGGAGAAGCAGUAGCUUGGAGCUUUUGUCCUGUUUUGUGCCCAUUUGUCCUCACUAAUCAGAGAGAAUGUUUUGUUUUCUCUUGUUUGCCGUGACAACGAAAAUUAUUACCUACAUUAAGAAAAGGUGUUAUUUCUGGAGACAGAGAUGGGAGGACAGGACAAAGUGGAAGGCUGUGGUUUAACUGAUUCCAUUUGGGCACCAACCUCAGGGUAGCAGCCCUGA
rnacentral:lncRNA from 1 species